rnacentral:tRNA from 1 species
GUUUCUAUAGUUGAGUAACAACAGUGGUUUUUCAUACCGCAGGCUCUGGUUUAACAGUAGUAGGCCAGAUGGGAAUA